UACGAAGGGGGCUAGCGUUGUUCGGAGUUACUGGGCGUAAAGGGCGCGUAGGCGGCGCACCAAGUCAGGCGUGAAAGCCCUGGGCUCAACCCGGGAAUUGCGCUUGAGACUGGUGUGCUUGAGUACGGGAGAGGAUAGUGGAAUUCCCAGUGUAGAGGUGAAAUUCGUAGAUAUUGGGAAGAACACCGGUGGCGAAGGCGGCUCACUGGCUCGUAACUGACGCUCAUGCACGACAGCGUGGGGAUCAAACAGG
rnacentral:rRNA from 1 species